AUGAACGCUGGCGGCGUGCUUAACACAUGCAAGUCGAACGAAGCACUUUAACCUGAUUCUUCGGAUGAAGGUUUUUGUGACUGAGUGGCGGACGGGUGAGUAACGCGUGGGUAACCUGCCUCAUACAGGGGGAUAACAGUUAGAAAUGACUGCUAAUACCGCAUAAGACCACAGAGCCGCAUGGCUCGGUGGGAAAAACUCCGGUGGUAUGAGAUGGACCCGCGUCUGAUUAGGUAGUUGGUGGGGUAACGGCCUACCAAGCCAACGAUCAGUAGCCGACCUGAGAGGGUGACCGGCCACAUUGGGACUGAGACACGGCCCAAACUCCUACGGGAAGCAGCAGUGGGGAAUAUUGCACAAUGGGGGAAACCCUGAUGCAGCGACGCCGCGUGAGCGAAGAAGUAUUUCGGUAUGUAAAGCUCUAUCAGCAGGGAAGAAAAUGACGGUACCUGACUAAGAAGCACCGGCUAAAUACGUG
rnacentral:rRNA from 1 species